CAGAAUCAGAUGGAUGGGGAUUAGAGAAGAAAGGCCAAGCCUGUGGUGACUCAAUCAAACUGCCAUCGGUGCAGGAUCGAACGGCUGGCUGGGCGGAUGAUUUCAUCCGCCUGAUUUGUAGCAGGCGCCAAUUUUCCAUCGGUUGGUUAGACACAAGCACGAACGGGACUCAACACGCAUGCAAACACAAACAGACAAGGAUACGAGGCCACAGCACCACACAUCAUGUGCUUAGACUUCCAAAUUAGACAGAUGAAAAUAAGGAAUAGAUGAGUCAAAAUUGUACAUGGUGUCGUCAAGAGCAACCCGGCCAAAGCAACCCACAUAAAUGAAUCAUGCUGACCACACAAGCAGACAUCCAAGAAGAAGUCAAAAAAAGGGCGACUCAAACAAGCCACAAAGAACAUGGAAGUAUAUCGGUAAGACGAAGCGCGACUCGACGCCCCACAAGUAUUGCUCAGCAAAGCAGGGAUCAACCGUUUCACGCAACAUGCUACUCGGCGUCCAACAAAGUCACGCCCAACUGCUACUAAUCUGAAUCAUCAAGUUUAAUUUGAAGGAAAAAUACUAUGGCCUGCAAGAACUAGAGCGACUUUUGAUGACCAGCCACACAAGUAGACAUCCAAGAAGUAGUAGUCAGGAAAAAGGGCAACUCAAACAAGCCACCAAGAACAUCGAAGUAUGCCGGUAAGACGAAGCGCGAAGGACGCCCCACAAGUAAAAACCCCCACGGGCCGUGUAGCUCAACGUUUGAUGAAGCAAGGUCAGCCACUUCACGCGGCAUAAAACUCAACAUCCAACAAAGUCAUGCCCAACGACUUCUCACCUGAAUCAUCAGGUUUUGCAAAAUACUAUGGCGUGUAAGAAGUUGAGCGACUUAAUGACAAGGGGACAAAAUUGGAACAUUUAAGUGUAAGUGAUGAGAAUGUAUUCAAUCCAACAACUGAUGAGCUUAUUAGCCUAGAUAUGAUCUUGAUGGAUGAACAAUUAUGCUCCUUUAACUGCAAAUUAUUCCGCAUUUCCAACAACUGUUAACAAGUUUAAUUGUUUCUUUUGGUAUGGCCAGACAAAUCACACUACAAUCUAGAAGAAUCUAAUAGACAAUUUUAGAUCAAAGAUCAAAGAUCAAUGAGCAUAUAUAUUUAUGCAUUCAACAAUUUUAAGGUUCUGGAAAUCACGAAAUAUUGCCCAGUGAGAAAACAUGCCCGCGUUGCAACAGGAGUAAGAAAUCCUCGGACGCCCUUAGCAACCCAUUUUUACUCGACUGUACAAACGUAGAUGUGGUAAUUGAUUGGAAGUGCUAAUGAAUAAAUACUACAAAAUAACCACAAAAUUAAUAAGUAUACCUAGACAUGUCCAUAGCAGGCCAUACAGUGACAUACAACAUACCAAAAGGAUCAAUUUGCAAAAAAUGUAUUUUGGCAUACAAUACAAAGGUAAAGGAGAUGAAAAGAGCGCGGGGAGUUUUUCCAAAUUGUAACUUUGAGUUUGCUACCAUGGUCAUACUACAAGAACGGACAGAAACGGAUAUACAAUGCUCAGGUAUGUUUAUAGUUGUAAUUAAGAUUUUCAACUAAUUAAAUUUCUAAUGGUUAUAUUUUUAAUAUUCAAAUUUACAGAUGCCAUCAUAUUACUUAUUCAAGUAAAGCCAGUGGAAACAAGAAUAAAAGUAAAGGACCCACAAGAUUUAUAUAUCCAUGAGAUUGAGAUUCAAAUACGAGAGGAAGUGCAUCAUGCAUUCGCAUGUCCCAAAUUUUAACUGAACCUCCGCCAUGUGGUUAGCACUAACUUUUAUAAUUACACUCUUUAGUUCUGAUGAAAUCAGAGUCACAUUACAGAUAAAGAUAGCUUAUCUUUUAACUGAGGAUGUAAUCGGCAACCAAACUGUCCUUAUUGUGACCUCGACCAUGGUGUAGAAAUUCAAUGAUAUGUCCAAUUACAAAAAUAUAUAAAGAUCUGGAUAUAACCGAAACAUAGGAACUUCUUGAUAGGUAUGAACCAUUAUGUUUGAUAGUUCUCGAAUCAAUAGUGACUCGCAUUUUGUUCAUUGAUGUAUAAUAAAAUUAUUCUUAAUUACUCCAUAUAUGUAGGCACUCAGCACCAAAAACAUUACCAAAGAUAUAGUAAGAGUACUUGACAGGAUAAAAAGAUACUUAUUACUCCCUCCAUACCAAAAUAUAUGACGUUUUUCCAGUUCAAAUUGAACUACAAAAACAUCGUAUAUUUUGGUACAGAGGUAGUAGAUUAUAAGGGUGUGAAUAUUAGAACUAUCAAAAGCAUGUCAUGUUGUAAUUUUCUGAAAGGCAUGCACUUUUAUCAGUUUAUGGUUCCUGUGGGCACAAAAGGUUGUCGUAAUUCAGGAAUAAAGAACACAUACAAAAAAAUACAUGUACUGCCCUACAACAUUUGUAAACGUGGCACAUACCUUGAUUCAUGCCUGAAAACUCUACCCUUAGAAAACAAGAUUUCAGAAGCCAGGCAAGAAACCAUGUGUCAAGAAGACUAGCCGCAGGUAAAAUUACUGAACUUAAAAACUAACCUGCAUGUCUCACGUGAGGCUGAUGCUUUUGCUACCCAACUCAGCAUAUGUGCAUUUAAACCUCCUUUUUUACUAUCAAACAAAAAAUGGAUGCAAGAAUCGCUUGCUAGGUUGAGAUCAACUCUAUGGAGUACAUUAUCCUGUCAGGGCCGGGAUAUAGGCGCCCGAGGAAAAAUGGAAAGACCGGUGAUUGGUUGGCUGAAGCUUGAUGUAGAUGCCUCUUACAUUGCUGAAACAGGGGUGGCGAGCUCAGAGGCAGUGGCCCGAAUAGUUGGGGAUCGAUUGUGUUCUCUGCGGGUCGCUUGGUGGCUAACUGCUUGGAUGCGGAUGAAUCAGAAAUUCAUGCAUGUAAUAAGUAUUGAAUCCCAAUUGAUGACAUAUAUAUAUACAGUUGGUGUUUCCCCCUAAAUCCAUAUAUUUGCUUUA